CCUACGGGGCGCAGCAGUAGGGAAUAUUGCUCAAUGGGGGAAACCCUGAAGCAGCAACGCCGCGUGGAGGUUGAAGGUUUUCGGAUUGUAAACUCCUUUUGUUAGAGAAGAUAAUGACGGUAUCUAACGAAUAAGCACCGGCUAACUCCGUGCCAGCAGCCGCGGUAAUACGGAGGGUGCAAGCGUUACUCGGAAUCACUGGGCGGAAAGAGCGCGUAGGCGGGAUAGCAAGUCAGAUGUGAAAUCCUAUGGCUUAACCAUAGAACUGCAUUUGAAACUGUUAUUCUAGAGUAUGGGAGAGGUAGGUGGAAUUCUUGGUGUAGGGGUAAAAUCCGUAGAGAUCAAGAGGAAUACUCAUUGCGAAGGCGACCUGCUAGAACAUAACUGACGCUGAUGCGCGAAAGCGUGGGGAGCAAACAGGAUUAGAUACCCGGGUAGUC
rnacentral:rRNA from 1 species